UACGUAGGGUGCGAGCGUUGUCCGGAAUUAUUGGGCGUAAAGAGCUCGUAGGCGGUUCAGUAAGUCAGGUGUGAAAAUCUUUGGGCUUAACCCAAAGCGUGCACUUGAUACUGCUGUGACUUGAGUUCGGUAGGGGAGUGGGGAAUUCCUAGUGUAGCGGUGAAAUGCGCAGAUAUUAGGAGGAACACCGGUGGCGAAGGCGCCACUCUGGGCCGAAACUGACGC
rnacentral:rRNA from 1 species